UACGAAGGGGGCUAGCGUUGCUCGGAAUCACUGGGCGUAAAGGGCGCGUAGGCGGCCAUUCAAGUCGGGGGUGAAAGCCUGUGGCUCAACCACAGAAUUGCCUUCGAUACUGUUUGGCUUGAGUACGGUAGAGGUCAGUGGAACUGCGAGUGUAGAGGUGAAAUUCGUAGAUAUUCGCAAGAACACCGGUGGCGAAGGCGGCUCACUGGACCGAUACUGACGCUGAGGCGCGAAAGCGUGGGGAGCAAACAGG
rnacentral:rRNA from 1 species